CGAGUAGCUGUCUGCCCCGCCCCGAAGGCAGAGCCUCCCGCCUUAUGACUAUGCAGUAGGGGCGUGGCCUCAGCGCACGUCUCGCCCCCUCCGCGCGCUCGGUUGCCACCCAGAAGAGGUGUGUGGAGCCGGGCGAAACCAUCUGCCUCGAGCAGGCGGGGAGGGAGGGCUGUACCAUCCGUAACCCCACCGCCGGGCGUCCCGUAGCCGAAGGCCGCCAUUCUCUGUGUGCCCGGUUUGAAUAUAAGCCCGCGGGAGCCUCGCAGCCUUCCUACCCAGGCUCCGGAGCCCGGGUGGGCACGGGCCUGGGCGGCACAGUGGAUGCUCACGUGCCUCGCCCCCUGCGCAGCGCGAGUGUUUAGCCCCUGAGGCUUUACCCUGGGCGCUCUCUUCCCUCCGUGUGAGGACCCCAGCAAGGAUUCAUGAUGUCCACAGGUGCUUCGGGGUGGCCUCUGGGCUACUUGGCCUCGCUUGACCACAGCUUCCGGCCCAGGGCAAGUCAGCAAUGGAAGAGACCAAAGCCUUGGGGAGCCUGGAUGGAGAGAGCAAGAGAAGGCUCUGGGUCCCUGAUGGACAACGGCUGCACCUGAGCCAGGUGUGCUCAGACAGGUCAGGAGUCACUGGAAAAGUUGUUAGGCUGGUAUUUCUACGUCUCGCAUUGGUCAGCCCUUGCGGAAACGGUGCUGCAGCGGUGCGUUACCUGCCCUCAGCAUCAUGCGAGGCAAGAUCCAGCCGUCCCGCCCGCCGGGCAUACGAGCUUAUGGAGCAGCCCCCUUUGAAGAUCUCCAGGUAGACUUCACAGAGAUGCCAAAGUGCGGAGGUAACCGGUAUUUCCUAGUUCUUGGGUGUACCUACUCUGGGUGGGUGGAGGUUUAUCCAACACGAACUGAGGAAGCUCAGGAAGUAACCUGUGUGCUUCUUCGAGAUCUUAUUCCUAGAUUUGGGCUGCCUUUACGGAUCAGCUCAGAUAACGGGCCUGCGUUUGUGGCUGACUUGGUACAGAAGACGGCAAAGGUAUUGGGAUCACAUGGAAACUGCAUGCCGCCUACCGGCCUCAGAGUUCCGGACUAUCAACAAUAGUAUUAUUGUCUUCCCUGCUGGAUAUUAAAAACAAUACCACAACGGGCAUUAAACCACCUGCCAAAUUUGAGGGGAUGUUAUCCUCUCCCCCCGCUCCGUCCCCGGAUAUUAGAGACAAUAACACAGGGGUAAUGUACACCCAUUGCCUUAUUGGGAGUAAUAUCAUCCUCUCCCUUCUUGGAUAUUAGGAACAAUAUCACAGUGUGCGUGUACGCCUGUCGCGACAUUCAAUGGAAUGUCAUCCUGUGCCUCCCUGGAUAUGACGAACAAUAUCACGGGGGAUGUGCAACUUCUGAGAUAUUGGGAGUGAUAUCAUCCUCUCCCCUCUAGAAGUUAGGGACAAUAUCACAGGGGUAGUGUACACCCUCUGUGAUGUUGGGACUAAUAUCCUCCCGUCCCCUGCAUAUUAAAAACCAUAUCACAAGGGGCGUGUACACACACUUCGAUAUUGGUAUUAAUACUAUCCUCUCCCUCUUUGGAUAUUCUGUGCAGUAUUUCAGGUGGGGUAUACACCACCUGCAAUAUUGGAAGUCAUAUUAUCUUUUCCCCCCAUGGAUAUUAGCAACAGUAUCACAGGGGGUGUGAACAACCCCUGUGAUAUUUGGAGUAAUAUCGUCGUCUCCCCUCAUGAAUAUUAAGAACAAUGUCGUAGGGGGGGUGUACACCCCCUUUGAUAUUUGAUAUCAUCCUCUUCCCCCCGGAUAUUAGGAACAGUAUCAGGAAGGGAUGUACAGAUCCUGAGACAUUUGCUGUCAUCUCAUUGUCUCUCCCCUAGAUAUUAGGAAAAAUGUAACUGGGGAUGUGAUCACUCCUGCGAUAUUGAAAGAAGUAUCAUCCUCUCCCCCCUUGCAUAUUAGGAACAAUAUCACGGGGGGGUGUACUGCCUCUGCGAUAUUGGGAGUAAAAUUAUCCUCUCUUCCUCUGGAUAUUAGGAAGGGUAUCAGAGGGGGAGGUGUACAUUCCCUGCAAUAUUCAAUGUAAUCUUUUCCUCUCCUUCCCAGGGUGCUAAGAACAAUAUGACAGGAGGGGUGUACACCCUCUGCGAUAUUGAGAGUCAUAUCAUCCUCUUUCGCUCUGGAUACUAGGAAGAGUUUCACAGGGUUGUGUGCACCCCCUGUGGUAUUGGGAGUAAUAUCCGCUCUCCCUCUGGAUAUUAGGAAGAGUUUCACAGGGCUGUGUACACUCCCUGUGAUACUGGGAGUAAUAUCAUCCUCUCUCCCCCUGGAUAUUAGGAACGACAUCACAGGGGGGUGUCCACCCCCUGGGAUAUUGGUGUAAACCCCCUGUGAUAUUAGGAGUAAUAUCCUCUCGCCCUCUGGAUAUUAGGAACAAUAUCACAGGGUGGGGGGUGUACACCUGUGCAAUAUUGAAAGUAAUAUCAUCCUCUCCCCCACGGUUUUUUGAAACAAAAUCACAGUGGGUUGUACACGUGGUGCGAUAUUUGUAGUAAUAUCGUUCCCUCCUUCCCUGGAUAUUGGGAACAACAUUACAAGGGGGUUGUACACCACCUGCAAUAUUCGGAGUCAUAUGAUUCUUUGCCCACCUGGAUAUUAGGAACAACAUCACCGCACGGGGGUCGUGGAAAACCCCGGCUAUUUUGAAAGUAUCAUCCUCUUUUUCCCUGGAUACUAUGAACAGUAUCACAGGAGGGAUAUACACCUUCUGCGAUAUUGGGAGUAAUAUUAUUCUCUCCCGCCCUGAAUAUUUAGAAAAAUAUCACAGUGGGGUGUACACCCCUGCGAUAUUGGGCAUAAUAUCAUACUCUCCUUCCCUGGAUAUUAGAAAACAAUAUCAUCAGGUGUGAACGCCCCCUGCGAUAAUGGGAGUAAUAUUUUCUCUUUCACAGGCCAUUAGGAACAAUGUCACGGGGGGUGUUUACACCCCCUGCGAUAUUGGAGGUAAUACCAUCCUCUGCCCCCUGGAAUAUUACAACAAUAUCAAACAGGGGUGGUAUACACCCCCUGUGAUAUUGAGAGUAAUACCAUUCUCUCCACCCCUGGAUAUUAAGAACAAUAUCCUGGCGGGGGGUGGUACACCCCCAGUGAUAUUGGGAAUAAUGUCAUCCUCUCCUUCCCUGAAUAUUAGCAACAAUAUCACAGGGGGGUGUACACCUUCUGUGAUAUUGGAAGCAAUAUCAUCCUCUCCCCCGCUGGAUAUUAGAAAAAAUAUCACACAUGGUGUACACCCACUGUGAUAUUAGGAAGAAUAUUACAGGGUGUACCCCUGCUGUGACUUUAGGAGAAAUAGCUCCCUAAAAUAUCACAAAUAAUAUCACAAGGUAUACAGUAAUAUCUCCCUAGGAUAUUACAAAUACUAUCACAGGGUGUACACCCACUGUGAUAUUAAAAGUUAUACCUCAGUCAGAUAUUGUGAAUAAUAUCACAGGGUGUACACCAUGUGUGCACACCCACUGUGAUUUUUAAAGUAAUAUCUCCUUAGGAUAUUACGAAUAAUAUCAAGGAGUGUACACACCCUAUGACAUUAAGAUAACAUCCCUUUAGAAUAUUCCAAAUAAUAUCCCAGGGUGUACACCCCAUGUGACAUUACGAGUAACAUCUUCCUAGGAUAUUACGAAUAAGAUCCCAAGGUUGACACUCCCUAUGAUUUUAAAAGUAAAAUCCCCCUAGAAUAUUAGUAAUAAUAACACAGGGUGUACACCACCUGUGAUAUUAGGAGUAAUAUCCCCCUACAGUAUUGGGAACAAUAUCACACGGUGUACACCCCUAUAACGUUAGGGGUAACAUGCCCCCAGAAUGUUACUAAUAAUAUCACAAGGUGUAUACAUAUUGUGACAUUAGUAGGAAUAUCCUGCUAGCAUAUUUUCAAUAAUAUCACAGAAGGAACACACCUGUGACAAUAAGAGUAACACCCCCUAGAAUAGUAAGAAUAAUAUCAUAGGGUGUACAACACCUGUGACAUUAGGAGUAUCAUCUCGCUAGAAUAUUACGAAUAAUGUCACAGGGUGUUAUCUUCUGUGACAUUAGGAGUACAGACCCCUGGGAAAUUAUGAAUACUAUCCCAGGGUUUACCUCCCUAUGACAUUAGGAGUAACACCUUUCUAAAAUAUCAUGAAUAGCCGGGCGCGGUGGCUCACGCCUGUAAUCCCAGCACUUUGGGAGGCCAAGGCGGGUGGAUCGCGAGGUCAGGAGAUCGAGACCACGGUGAAACCCCGUCUCUACUAAAAAUACAAAAAAUUAGCCGGGCGCAGUGGCGGGCGCCUGUAGUCCCAGCUACUCCGGAGGCUGAGGCAGGAGAAUGGCCUGAACCCGGGGGGCGGAGCUUGCAGUGAGCCGAGAUUGCGCCACUGCGCUCCAGCCUGGGCGACAGAGCGAGACUCCGUCUCAAAAAAAAAAAAUAAAUAAAUAAAAUAAAAUAAAAUAAAAUAAAAUAUCAUGAAUAAUGUCACAAUGUGUACAACCCAGUGUCAUUAAAACUAAAGUUGCCCUAGGAUAUUACGAAAUAUAACACAGGGAGAACACCUCGUGUGACAUUAGAAGUAACAUCCCCUGAGGAUAUAAGGAAUAGGAGGCAUUUGUCCUAGUGGGACGCCCCCCAGAGCAGUGUGUGGCAGGCCCCCAUAGAGGAUCAAUGCAGUGGCUGAACACCAGGAAGGAACGGGCACUUGGAGUCUGGACAUCUGAAACUUGGUAAGACUGGUCUUUGAAACUUGCCCACUCUGUUUGAGUGGAAGCGAGGCCUGAUCACCCACGGUGUGCCUGUACCAGCCCUUUGGUUUUUGUUUUUGACUUGACUUGGAUUGCUUGAUACUUUGGUUUUGGUUUUGACCUGGCUUAGAUUUCUGGUUACUCUGAUUUUGGUUUUGAUUUUUGUUUGGUGCAAACUGCAAAAGUGUGUGUGUGCCCUUUUUACCCGUUCUUUGUUUUGUGGUGUGCAUGUGGAGUGAGCGUGGUAUUUUGUCUCGAAGAAGCAUAGGUCAGGCACAAAUAAGCCCACCCUACUAGGAACUAUGUUGGAAAAUUUCAAAAAAGAAUUUAAGGGAGACUAUGGAGUACUACGACACUAGGAAAACUGAAAACUCUGUGUAAGAUAGACCGGCCAGCAUUAGAGCUAGGCUGGCCAUUAGAAGGAAGCCUGGACAGGUCCCUUGUUUCAAAGGUAUGGCACAAAGUAAACUGUAAGCCAGGGAACCCAGACCAGGGAACAUAGACACUUGGUUACAGCUGGUUUUAGACCCCCCGCCCCCAAUACACAGUGGUUGAGAGAACAGCAGCAUCAGCGGCUGUCAGAGGCAAGGAAAAACCAGCAGAGAGAGAGAGAAAGGAAAGAGACAGAGAGGAAAAGAGGAAAAGAGAGAGAAGAAGAGACAGACAAAGAGGGAGUCAAGGAGAGAGAGAGAGAGGCAGAGAGAGGCAAAAGGAAAGUCAAAAAGAGAGAGACAAAAUCAAAGAGAGAAAGAAAGAAAGAGAGAGAUAUACAUGGAGUUAAAACAAAAAGUGUACCCUAUUCUUUAAAAGCCAAGGUAAACCCGGGAGGCAGAGCUUUCAGUGAGCCAGGGUCACGCCACUGCACUCCAGCCUGGGCGACAGAGCAAGACUCUGUCUCAAAAAACAAAAAAAAUAAAAAAAUAAAUAAAAGCCAAGGUAAGUUUAAAACCUAUAAUUGAUAAUUGAAGGUAUUCUCCGUAACCCUAUAACACUCUAAUACCACUUUGUUGUCAGUGUAAACAAGGGCGUAUCCCGAAAGCACUGAGGCCUUCCUAUCAAAAAUCCUUAACCAGUAACCCGCGGAUGGCCCAAAUGCAUUCAAUCUGUAGCGGCAGCUGCUUUGCUAACAAAAAAAGGAAAAAGGAUAACUUUUAGGGAAACCUCAUUGUGAGCACAGCUCACCAGUUCAGAAGUAUCCUAAGGGAAAAAAAAAAAGGAAAAAAGGGAGGGGCGGACUUUAUAUAAAAAGAGUAUUAUAUGGCAAAUUCUUGUCCUGAAAUAAAUUAACUGGUUGUUUAAAGAAAAAAAUAUUUGGAAUAAGUCAGAAAGUUGAGGCAUGUCAAAGAAUUGUCUGCAAAAGUCAAGAAAGAGAAAAAUGUUAUAAAAAAGAAUUUAUGCAAAAAAUGUUGUAUAAUUUAAAAGUAACUAGACCUCCUGAAUGUAAAACUAUUGAAAAAAAAAACAAACAGUUUAUGUUCAAGAUGUAUAAGAAAAGUAAAAUAUACCUUUCGUAGAAGGAUUAUAAGGAGGCAUAAGAAUGUACAUUUUUACCUACGUUAAAAAGUUAAAAAAAAUUAUUGUUUUGAAGGUUUAAGCAAGUUUUAAAAUGUUAAUUGUAAAGAAAAUUCUGUGUGUAAACAUAUUUGCUAAAGUUAAAGAAGUAUCAUCCAAUUUUUCUGUGAACUGGACGUUAAAGUAAAAGCAUAACAGGUUUUUCUUAAAGCACCAACCUGCUCUUUAGCAAAAAUUAUAAAAGGUUAAAAAGAGUCUAUAAAAUCUUAACUUAUGAUCAAACAUUAAAAAUUAGAUAAAUAUGUCUACAAGUUUUUAUUAAAAUUAGAUUUAACAUUAAUAACACACUAAUAUAAAGAGAACAUUUAGCUUAUCUGGUAUAAAAAUCAUACAAGAAGCAUUGUUAAAUGUAAAAUGGUAUUUGGCUUUCUUUAGUUUAAAAACUAAUAAAAAUAGGUGUUAAAGGAAAUUUCUCAGUAAAAAGACACUAAGGACUUUAAAGUCCACUGCCAAGGUCCCCACAUUUAAAACAAAAGGUCAGUUUCUUAAAAAUUAUAUACUUGGUUUAUCUUCCACUUUACUUUCUCUCAAAAACUGAAAGUCUUUUAGCACCUGUACCACCCCGAGAAUUUCCAGUAAAUCAGCACCAGCCUGAAGAUCACAUUCUCAUUAAAGGGUGGAAAGAAGAAAAACUCAAGCCAGCCUGGGAAGGACCCUACCUUGUGCUGCUAACCACCAAGACUGCUGUUCAUACAGCAAAAAAAAAAAAAAAAAGGAUGGGCCGGGCGUGGUGGCUCAAGCCUGUAAUCCCAGCACUUUGGGAGGCCGAGGCAGGCGGAUCAUGAGGUCAGGAGAUUGAGACCAUCCUGGCUAACGUGGUGAAAACCCGUCUCUACUAAAAAAAGACAAAAAAUUAGCCGGGCGCGGUGGCGGGCACCUGUAGUCCCAGCUACUCGGAGAGGCUGAGCCAGGAGAAUGGCGUGAACCCGGAGGGCAGAGCUUCAGUGAGCCGAGAUUGCGCCACUGCACUCCAGCCUGGGCGACAGAGCGAGACUCCGUCUCAAAAAAAAAAAAAAAAAGACCCCCCAUGCUGUGGUAACCUUAAUAAAUACCAAAGGAUAUCAUUGGUUAACAAAUGCUAGAUUAACCAAGUACCAAAGCAUGCUAUGUGAAAAUCCCCACAUAACCACUGAAGUUUGCAACACCCUAAACCCUACCACCUUUCUCCCAGUAUCAGAGAGCCCAGUUGAACAUAACUGUGUAAAGGUGUUGAACUCAGUUGAUUCUAGCAGGCCCGACCUCUGAGACCAUCCUGGAACAUCAGUAGACUGUGAGCAGUAUGUGGAGGGGAUCAGCUUCGCCAGCCCCUGCAAAGUGACUCUGAAGAAGAUGACAAGCCCUACUGCAGUCACACCUGGAAGCUGAGUGGUCCGCACACAGCCGAAGCACGAGAAAACUCACUGUGGGACUCAUUUUCCUUAACAUUUGGACUUUUACAGUAAGGACUUCAAAUGACCUUCCUCAGACUAAGGACUAUUCCCAUUGUAUACAUCAAGUCACUGAGGUAGGACAAAAGGUUGCUAUGAUCCCAUUAUUUUAUAGUUAUUAUAAGUGUACUGGAACUCUAAAAAGAACUUGUUUGUAUAAUGUUAUUCUAUACAAAGUAUGUAGCCCAGGAAAUGACCAAUCUGAUGUGUGUUGUGACCCAUCUGAGCCUCCCAUGACCAUAGUUUUUAAAAUAAGAUUAAGGACUGAGGACUGGUGGGGACUCAUAAACGAUACGAGUGAAGUGUUAGCCAAAACAGAAGGAAAAGGGGUGCCCAAACAAGUCACCUUAAAAUUUAAUGCCUGUGCUGUCAUUAAUAAUAAUGUUAGGAAUAAGGUAUGGUUCUCUUAAUUAGAAAAGAGGUUAUAUGGCAGAAAAUAAAUACAUCUGUCAUAAAUUAACACUGUGUGGAAAUAAAUAUAAAUACUGGUCUUGUGUCAUUUAGGCCACUUGGAUUAAAAAAAUGAAAAAGAUCCAGUCCACCUUCAGAAAGGAAAAAAAUGGCCCUUCCUGUACUAAGGGACACAUGUAAUCUCAGCACUUUGGGAUGCCAAGGCAGGUGGAUCACCUCAGGUCAGGAGUUUGAGACCAGCCUGGUCAACAUGGUGAAACCCCAUCUCUACUAAAAAUACAAAUAUUAGCUGGUUGUGGUGGCGGGCACCUGUAAUCCAGGGAGGCUGAGGCGGGAGAAUCCCUUGAACCUGGGAGGUGGAAGCCGCAGUGAGCCAGGAUCGUGCCAUUGUACUCCAGCCUGGGUGACAGAGCAAGACUCCAUGUCAAAAAACAAAAGCAGGGUCGGGUGCGGUGGCUCGCACUUGUAAUUCCAGCACUUUGGGAGGCCGAGGCUGGCAGAUCACCUGAGGUCGGGAGUUUGAGACCAGCCUGACCAACACGGAGAAACCCCAUCUCUGCUAAAAAUACAAAAUUAGCCAUGUGUGGUGGCGCGUGCCCGUAAUCCCAGCUACUCGGGAGGCUGAGGCAGGAGAAGCGCUUGAAGCUGGGAGGCGGAGAUUGUGGUGAGCCAAGAUAGUGCCACUGCACUCCAGCCUGGGCGACAGAGUGAAACUCCAUCUCAAACAAAAACAAAAACAAGCCUUUGUAAAUAGAAAGAUUUAAAGAAAGGUAAGAAUUUUGAGGCUGAUACAUUUCACGUGCCCGGGGCUCAGUCUUCUUUCUUCCUGGACUCCUUCCCAAUCCGCCUGGAUCGUCUUGCCAUCGUCGCCCCUACUCACAGUGAACGAUUUCCUCACUGGGAAUAUCACAAGAACUGUAGACGCUGCCAGAAUUCUUUGGCACAAAACUCCUCUCUGAGUCAGAGCCUAACGCUGUUAGCGAGGGAAGAACAGCUGCAAGGGUCACACAUCUGUGAGUCUUUUGAAAAUUUUAUGAUGAAUAAAAACUAUCCAUUACA